rnacentral:rRNA from 1 species
GCUUGUCUCAAAGAUUAAGCCAUGCAUGUCUCAGUAUAAGCUUCUAUACGGUGAAACUGCGAAUGGCUCAUUAAAACAGUUACAGUUCAUUUGAUGGUUACUCCUUACAUGGAUAACUGUGGUAAUUCUAGAGCUAAUACAUGCGCCCAAACCUGACUCCGUGGAAGGGUUGUGUUUAUUAGUUACAGAACCAACCCAGGCUCCGCCUGGCCUUGAGGUGAUUCACAAUAACCGAACGAAUCGCAUAGCUGCCGCUGGCGAUAGACCAUUCAAGUUUCUGACCUAUCAGCUAUCGUCGGUAGGGUAUUGGCCUACCGUGGCAAUGACGGGUAACGGAGAAUUAGGGUUCGAUUCCGGAGAGGGAGCCUGAGAAACGGCUACCACAUCUAAGGAAGGCAGCAGG